AUUGAACGCUGGCGGCAGGCCUAACACAUGCAAGUCGAGCGGAUGAAGGGAGCUUGCUCCUGGAUUCAGCGGCGGACGGGUGAGUAAUGCCUAGGAAUCUGCCUGGUAGUGGGGGAUAACGUCCGGAAACGGGCGCUAAUACCGCAUACGUCCUGAGGGAGAAAGUGGGGGAUCUUCGGACCUCACGCUAUCAGAUGAGCCUAGGUCGGAUUAGCUAGUUGGUGGGGUAAAGGCCUACCAAGGCGACGAUCCGUAACUGGUCUGAGAGGAUGACCAGUCACACUGGAACUGAGACACGGUCCAGACUCCUACGGGAGGCAGCAGGGGGGAAUCUUGGACAAUGGGCGAAAGCCUGAGCCAGCCAGGCCGCGGGUGUGAAGAAGGUCUUCGGAUUGUAAAGCACUUUAAGUUGGGAGGAAGGGCAGUAAGUUAAUACCUUGCUGUUUUGACGUUACCAACAGAAUAAGCACCGGCAAACUUCGG
rnacentral:rRNA from 1 species